AGAGCGAACGCUGGCGGCAGGCCUAACACAUGCAAGUCGAACGGAUCCUUCGGGAUUAGUGGCGGACGGGUGAGUAACACGUGGGAACGUGCCUUUUGGUUCGGAACAACUCAGGGAAACUUGAGCUAAUACCGGAUGUGCCCUUCGGGGGAAAGAUUUAUCGCCAUUAGAGCGGCCCGCGUCUGAUUAGCUAGUUGGUGGGGUAAAGGCCUACCAAGGCAACGAUCAGUAGCUGGUCUGAGAGGAUGAUCAGCCACAUUGGGACUGAGACACGGCCCAAACUCCUACGGGAGGCAGCAGUGGGGAAUCUUGCGCAAUGGGCGAAAGCCUGACGCAGCCAUGCCGCGUGAAUGAUGAAGGUCUUAGGGAUUGUAAAAUUCUUUCACCGGGGACAUAAUGACGGUACCCGGAGAAGAAGCCCCGGCUAACUUCGUGCCAGCAGCCGC
rnacentral:rRNA from 1 species